UCUUAAGCAUGAUGCUACACUUCCAUUAGCCAUGUAGGGGUAAACAAGCAAUCGUUCUGUAGGUGUCAUGCAAUAGCCACGUAACCGAAGUAAAUUUCGAUGCACAGCCAUGCUGAUCAUUUCUACUUCAGUUUAAACUCAAGCUCUACACGCGCUGUAUGUUCUUCUUUUAGUCUUUUGACAGCGACAAGAGAACCAUCAGCCAACCGGCCUUUAUAAACUUUGUAAAAUCCACCCAUGUCAAGAAUAUUUUUGUUGAGAAAAUUAUUCGUUGCAACUUGAAGUUCACGUAAAGAAAAUCUUUUGAGCUGCCCUAGAUGGACUUGUGGAUCCUCCUCAGCUGCCAAUGAAUAGAAGAUAAUUAAGAACACAUUGUACUCAAUAGUCAUGAUAAACUAAAGCCUUCUUUAGGACCACUAACCAGGAACAUCAAAGAAUUGAACAGGUUGCUUCCUUAGUCGGUACCAAGCAUUUUUCUUGCCUGUAAUGUAUCAUCAAUUGAGUAAGAUUCUAAGUUAGUUCACAGAAGUAUUCUUCACUUUCUUAAUAAAAUAGUUCACAGAAGUAUUCUUCACUUUCUUAAUAAAAUUGUGCUGAAUGUUUGAUAGAUCUUAUGUUUUUAAAGCAUUAUAUAAACGAGCACAAUGAAACACCAAUCAUAAUCCAGUGAUGAAUCUUGCCUGAAAAGAAGACACGACAUUAAAAUAGAUGUACCUUGAGGGCGCGAGACAGGCUUAUGCUCAUGAGGAGGAGAACUCAAAGUGAACCUGGAAUCGACAUACGAAGAAAUAGAUCUAAAACUUAAUCUGGAACUGACAUUACUCAGGUCCAUCGAGGGGGCACCGGCACUUUCCCAAAAACUUGAUCUGGAACUGACAUCACUCGGGUCCAAAGAGGGGGCACGGGCAAUUUCCCGAUCCUUUUCUCUCCGUCGAACGGCUACAACCAACCUUUCCCAAUUGUCUCUACUCAUCGCCUAAUAUUGCUAUUUGGUUACAGCCUUUUAAGUUUUUAUUCUUACACUUAAUUUAAGCUCAAGAAUCUAUAGAUAUUUCAGAUCUAGAAUAGGACGCAGUGUAGACAUGGAAAAUGGCUUAAAGGAAGCUGGGGAGGUAAAUUAUGGAAAGUUUUGGAGUUCGAUGACUUGGUGUUGGUGGGAAAAUUGUUUUUAAAUUAUUAUCAUUUUUUGUUAGGCACAUGUAUUUGCUUUUCCAAAGUCAAUAGGCUUUCACUUAAUCUGCAGCUUGUUGGGCAAAUCGGCUACUUUUCCUUUUCUUGUAGUGAAUCGAAACGAACCAGAUUCUUAAAUCUCCAUGUUGAAAUCAAUGAGAAAACAAAAUAAGUGCGAAAGCGUACUUUGAUUCAUAGAUCUGUGUUUUUUGAAAUCGAUUAUGAUCUUCCAACUGCAACGUGAUUUCUUGAAAUCUGUUCUCUAUUGAUGGUGAUGCAGAGAAUUCUGAAACUCACGUGCAAUUGGAGGUCAUGACCCCAUAUUAAAUAAUUGAUUAUUAUCUUGCAUUUAUUUUAAAUUCGCCUUUCAUCAAUUUAAAAUAAUUAUUCUGGUCUAUACACUUUAAUCCUAUGAGAAUUAAUACCCGUUAGUCCAAAAUUAAACUUAAUGAAUCACCUUAUCGACUAAAACUUAAAGAUAGCACCACACAUUUUAAUAUAUAUACAUGUAUGGCCCCAUACGAUGGAAUUUUUCUAAUAAUCUCCCACUGGGUCAUACAUCUAAUAUUACAAAUGUGUGCAACUUUAUGAGCUCAAACUUUUGCUAUUAUUUUUAAGGGUAUUUUUAAACAUUCUCGUUCAUUAGUCAUAUUGAUGUAGGAUCAAAGCGAUUUUUGUCACAUUUGACGUGAUUGAAUCUAUCAAUGAUCACGCACACCCAUACAACCAAAUGACAUAUAUUAAUCAUGGGAGUGUAGCAAGGAAAUUACAUUUUAUGUGAUCCGAACAUGUCUAUUUUCAACUGGUCCUACCUUAUUUCUUAAGUGAGAUCAAUACUCAACAUAAUAACAAAGUGGAAUGAACUGAAUAGUUCAUUUCUAUACAGAAAAAUAUCCAACUACACAAAUAUGUCUAAAGUAAACAUAAAACAACGAGAAUACAAACUCCCACUAAAACAUGAUAUCCUCAAGAAAUACAACACUCAUGCAAACAGUGUGCUCAUGAAAGACCUUGGGUGGUAAUCGUUUAGUGAGCGGAUCCGUAAUCAUGGAGUUUGUUCUAAUGUGCUCUAUAGAAAUUUGUCCACUCUGUACUAUUUCCUUCACAACCGGGAACUUAAUGUCAAUGUAUUUUGAUUAGAUGAGCUCCUGUUAUUAGAAUAUAGAACUAUCGAGUUAUUAUCACAAUAUAACUUUAGUGGUCUUUCUAUUCCAUUCAGAAUGCGCAACCCAGUGACAAAAUUUCACAGCCAUAUUCCAUGGUUAGAUGCCUCAUAGCAUGCUACAAACUUUGCAGCCAUGGUAAAAGAAGCUAUGAGUGUUGCAUGGCAUUCUUCUAAGAAAUAGCUCCUCCAGCUAACAGAUAGAUAUAGCUUGAUGUGGAUCUUCUACUGUCUUGGCACCCAACAAUGUCAGAAUCGGAGUACCCUAUGAUCUCUAACUGGUCCAAUCUGCUAUAUGUGAGCAUAUAAUCCUUUAUCCUCUUUAAAUACCUCAUAACCCUUUUGACUGCUUUCCAAUGAUCCAUCCCAGUGUUGCUUAAAUAUCUACCUAGAACUCCUACAAUGAAUGCUAUGGCCGGACGUGUACAAAUUUGAGCAUACAUUAGACUCCCAAUAGCUGAUGCAUAGGGAAUCUUUUACAUUUUCUUAGCUUCAAUGUCAUUUUGUGGGCACUGUUUGAGAUUAAAUUUGUCUCCCUUAGUGACAGAGUGUCACCUGGUUUAUAGUCUUGCAUGCCAAACCUCUUAGGCACUUUAUCGAUAUAACUCUUUUAUGACAAUCCAAGAAUAUCUCGAGAGCGAUCCCGAUGUAUUUGAAUCUCUAUUACAAAAGAGGCGUCACCAAGAUCUUUCAUCUCAAAAUUCCUUGAUAAAAAUCUCUUGGUUUCGUGCAACAUGCCUAUAUCGUUAGUGGCAAACAGUAUGUCAUCAACAUACAAAACUUGGAAAAUAUGCUUACUCCCACUGAACUUGUGAUACACACAAUCAUCAAAAGCAUUAAUCUCAAAACCAAAUGAGACGAUUACUUGAUGGAAUUUGUGGUACCAUUGACAGGAAGCUUGCUUGAGCCCAUAGAUAGAUUUCUUUAAUUUGCAGACCAUAUUCUUCGGGUCUCUUGACACAAAGUUUUCUGGUUGCACCAUAUAGAUCGUCUCAUCAAUAUCACCAUUGAGAAACGCUAUCUUAACAUCCAUCUGAUGUAACUCAAGGUCAAAGUGCACAACAAGUGCCAUAAUUGACUUAAAUGUGGGAUCAUAAAAUUUAUAGCCCCUAGAUCGCUUAGAGUAACCAAUAAAAUAACUACUAACUAUUUUGGAGUCCAAUUUCUUUUCAUGUGGCCUAUAAGGCCUCGCCUCAGCUGGACAUUCCCAAAUGUGAAAAUGCUUUAGACUAGGUUUUCUGCCUGGUCAAAGCUCAUAAGGUGUUUUAGCAGCAGUCUUAGUUGGUACUCUGUUCAGAAUAUAAGCUACAGUCUUUCAUGCCUCUCCCCUAAGUGAUUUCGCAAGGUGGAAUGACUUAUCAUACUCCUUACCAUGUCCUUAAGAGUUCUAUUUCGUCUUUCAGCUACACCAUUCAUGCUAGGCGAUCCUGGCAUGGUGUACUAUGGGACGAUUUCACACUCCCUUGGAUAUUUAGCAAAUGGUCCUAGACAUUAUUCACCUGAACCGUUAUAUCUGUAGUAAUACUCACCACCACGGUCAGACCUAACGCUCUUUAUCCUUUUUGUUGAGUUGAUUCUCAACCCCAGCUUUAAAUUGAACACGUCCAGUGACUCAGACUUUUCAUGAUGAGAUAUGGGUACCCAUAACGUGAGUAAUCGUCUAUGAAUGAUAUAAAAUAUUGUUGACCAUUCCAAGAAGCCAUAGGAAAUGACCCACAAAUAUCUGUAUGUAUCAAUUCUAAGACGUCUGACGAUCUUUAGCACCUAACCUCAUUGUUUUGGUCUGUUUUCCCUUGAUACAAUCAAUACAUGCAUCAAAAUUUGUGAAGUCAAGAGAAUCCAAAAUACUAUUUGGCACAAGUCACUCAAUUCUAACUUUUGAAAUGUGAUCUAAGCACUUGUGCCAUAAUUUCGCUGAAUUUUCUUUAUUUAAUUUGCGUUUAAUUCCUCGGGAUUCAACAUGCAAGAUUUCAUUAAAUGAUAUGAUUAUAUCAAGCAAAUAUAGGUUAUCAUAUGCACAUAAUAAACCAGUACUAAUAAUAUUGGAAUUUAAUGAAAGACUAAACUGAUUGUUUCCAAAUGAACAACAAUAUCCAAAUUUGUCCAAUAGAGAAACAGAAAUUAAAUUUCGUCUAAAACAUAGCACAACAAAAGUGUCUUCCAAAUCCAAAUAAUAACCAGUUCCCAAUAAUAACCUAAAAGUGCCUAUUGCAUCAACUUCCACUGAUUUGCCAUCACCCACAUAGAUGUAUCCUUCACCAUCACUUGGUUUUCGGUAGCUUAGGCCCUGCAUAGAAACACUUAUGUGAGUAAUAGCACCAGAAUCUAUCCACCAAGUGUUUCUAGGUACUGAAACUAAAUUAUUCUAAGAACAGACUAAAGUAAGAAUUGUACCUUUCUUUGCAUGUCAUGCGUGAUAUUUGGCACAUUCCUUCUUCACAUGUCUAACCUUAUUGCAAAAGAAAUAAGUUCUUUUAUCUUCCUUCUGUUUCUUUUGUGCUGGACCCUUUAGAGCAGCUUCAUAUUCCUUCAUCUUUUUUUUGCCCUUAUCCUUAGAAGUGCUUGCCAAAUGAGCAAAUUCAAUUCUAUCUUGUUUCAACAUUUCUUCCUCUUGCACACAAUAUGAAACAAGCUCAUUUAGAGACUAUUUCUCCUUCUGACAGUUAUAACUGACCUUAAAAUGACUGAACUUUGCAGGAAGCGAGAUCAAUACCAGAUGCACGAGCAAGUCAUCAGACAGCUCAAGCUUUAGCCCUUUAAGUUUUGAAGCAAUAUGAGACAUCUCCAUAAUGUACUCCCUUAUGUUCUCCUUACCUUUAUACUUCUUAGAAAUCAAGCUUUGUAAAAGCGUGCUUGUUUCAGCUUUUUCAUUUGUCGCAAAAUGCUUUUCAAUUUCGGCAAGGAACUCCUUAGAAUUAGUUAUACCUUAGGAUACUGUACCUCAAAAGGCUUCCGAAAUGCCGCGCUUAAUGAUCAUUACACUCAUGCGAUUUGUGUGAUCCCAUGUCUCAAAAUUUCUCUUUUCAUCAGGAGAACUUUCUUUCGUAAGAGGAGUGAGUUGCUCAAUCUGAAGUGCAAUGUCAAGAUCCAUGCAGCCAAGAAAAAUCAAUACGUUCUCCUUCGAAGCCUUGAAGUUUGUCCCUUUAAGCAUGGGAAUGGAAUUGAUAUUAGCAGAUAUUGUGGUAGCAGGUGAAUUAGCUAUAGAGAGAACAAAAAUAAAUAAAUAAUCAUGCUCAUAUCCAUAUUAAAUGAACAAUAAAUUCAAAUAAUGGUAAGUCUCAUCUCAAGAUACCUAGAGCAACAUUAAUACCAAGUCUUUGGACAGUAAUAUUAAUUGCUAAUGGUACUCUUAAUACAGUGAUCACUCCUGUCAAAUAAUGAAACCAUCUUUGGAUUGAUUUAUUAUUCACAUGGAAAUCUUAAAAUUGUCACAUAUUUACCACCGUAGGUGUGCAUGUAAUUCGGCCAAGUAUUAACCUUCCUUUAGGCUGAUUAAUACCCGCAUGAAGAAGCACACACGUCAUCUAAACAUCCCAAACAAGCCAAUCUACACAAAAGAGGUCACUUUGGUGAUAUAUUGUUUCAAUUAGUUUAUUCAAAAUGUUAGAUAACUUUAAUUCAUUAUAAAUGAUUUACCAAAUUAUUUUAAUUUGAUUGUCUCACAUAAUUAAACCUUAAUUAUUCCUCUUAAAAGAGUCCUUAGUACCUUAAUUUGAGAAAGACAAUAAUUAAUUUUGCAUUAUUAGAUGCCUUUAGAAACUAUAGCGACCUAAGGGUUAAUAAUUUAAAACUUUAGGGAUCAAAUUUUAAAAAAUUCAAAAUUUUGGGGGCCAAUGUUAAUUAAUUAUAAACAUUGAGGGCUUUAAUUGAAAAUUUCAGAACAUUAAUUGCCCAAAUUAAAUAAUUUUCAAAAUAUAAGGGUUGAAUUAUUAAACCCGUAACCUUAAAAUUCCAAUUUGGAUGGAUCAGAAACAUUGGGGACUGAAAUGUAAAUUUUUAUUUUGAAAAAAAUUCAUUAACCCUAAUUUAAAUUGCUAGCAAGGGGCUGAGAUUAUCAUAUUUGCACCUCAGGCCCCAUCCAAAAUCCAUCCUUGAAAAUCUCUCUCUCAAAUUAACAGCGCCGACGAUCAGCGCCGGUCAGGAGUAGGUAGGUCGGCGCCAACCGACAACAACACCGGGCGCUGCCGCAAAACUAAGCAGCUCGCUGCAAUUGUUGGCGACAUACCAGCCGCCGGCCAUAUAUAUAUAUAUAUUUGUUUUUUUUAAUCCAAAAAAAAUUGAAAAUCAGAAACUGAUUUUAAAUUUUUUUAACCCAGAUCUUGAUCCAGAAAAUCGAAUUACCCAAAAUUUACUUCCAGAUCUUGUAUAAUAAUCAUGAACAAUAUACAAAAUAAUGCUCUUGAUUCAACAAAUGACAGAUCCGAAAGAAUAACCAAAAAUAAUAUCCCAAACAACUUUCAAAUUCAACAAAAAUAUAUUCAAGGUUGUCAAAUCUGAAAAUUCUUAAACAAAUAUUGCAAGAUCUUGAUCCAAAAAAUUAAUCCGUAAUAUAAAACUGUAGUAACAUUAAAUCUUGCAAUUUCUCAAAGAAUUCAACAAUGGAGUGGCUUUGAUACCACUUGUAGUAAAUCGAAACGAACCAGAUUCUUGAAUCUCCAUGUUGGAAUCAAUGAGAAAAUAAAAUAAAUGUGGAAGCAUACCUUGAUCCAUAGAUAUGAGUUUUCUGAAAUUGAUUAUGAUCUUCCAACUGCUACAUGAUUUCUUGAAAUACGUUAUGUGUUGAUGGGGAUGCAGAGAAUUUUGAAAGUCACGUGUAAUUGGGGACCAUGACACUAUAUUAAAUAAUCGAUUAUUAUCUUUCAAUUAUUUUAAAUUGGCCCCUCAUCAAUUUAAAAUAAUUAUUCCGGUCUCUACACUUUAAUCCAACGAGAAUUAAUCCGUAAUAUAAAACUGUAGUAACAUUAAAUCUUGCAAUUUCUCAAAGAAUUCAACGAUGGAGCGGCUCUGAUACCACUUAUAGUAAAUCAAAACGAACCAGAUUCUUGAAUCUCCAUGUUGAAAUCAAUGAGAAAAUAAAAUAAAUGCGGAAGCAUGCCUUGAUCCAUAGAUCUGAGUUUUCUGAAAUAGAUUAUGAUCUUCCAACACUAGGUUUCACAUGGAACCGUCUAGUCUAUUUCAAUUAUGAGUAGAUGAGCCUUCUAAAACAAAAACAUGCGCAGAAACCAAUUGUACACUCAGCCCAAAGGAGGUGACUUAGUGAGAUCAAAACUCAUUGAUUCAUAAUGAAUAUUGAAAAAUGAUUGUAUGGCUCCAUUUUUGUGAAAAGAUGUUUUUAAUAGUGAUUUUUUGAGAAAGUGUAGUUAAAAAGUUAGAAAAAAUUUUAGGUGUACGUGCAAAAUUAUUUUACCUGAAGAAUGUACGAUUCAAAAUAAAGUUUGAGAAAAAAUGAAUAUUUACAUAAUUGGGCUCAAUAAUUGGAAAAAAAUUAAAAAAAAAAAUCAAUGUUUCACUUUAAUUUUAUCGAAGACAACUAGGGAUUACAAAUGUAGCCACUCCUUAAUUACUAAAUAAAGGUCAAACAAUUAAAAGAAAGACAAUAAUUAAAAAGUAACACUUGGUAAAAAUCAAAUGAAUAAAAUAUGGACCAUCCAUGAAACUCCAUAAUCCAUAGACUAAAAAUAGUAGUUUUUUUUCAUGUUAAUAUGGUUUUAUCAAAUUUCAAGUCGAAUACAGUUAUCCCCUACAAUGGUAAAUUUGGUCUCUAUUCAUUUCUGUACUUACUGGGUUUUUUGUUUUGUUGAAAUACUCAAUCUUAUCUCGUCGUUAAUUUGGACAAAACUUAUGCUUCAAUUAUUAAUCAAAUUUUGUAUACACUCCAAUUUAUGAAUUGUUAGUGCCUUAUUUCAAAUCGGGCGUGCCAAACAAGUUUGUUAAGAUUAGUUAAAUAUCUUGGGCCAAGUUAGUGGAUUCUUUGCUUUUAUUUAUUUUUAUGCGCACAAAAAUGACGACAGUCGAGAGAGAGAGAGAGAGAGAGAGAGAGAGAGAGAGAGAGAAGACAUGAAUUUGCGGAUACAAGAGGGACAUGAUUAUACAGGUAACAAAAAGGGGAAUACACACACACACAUAUAUACACAUAUAUAUAGUAAAUUACACCCGUAGUGGCAUGAUAGGGAGUUUUGGGGUAGGUUUUUAAAAGUAUUGACGGUUAAAUUACUUGUAAUUUAGCCCCCCUUUUUUUAACUGCAUAAUCAUGUGCGAGAGAGAUUUUUUCUUUUUUCUUUUUUUUUCUUUUUCGCUCUUCCCUAUGUCUUGUGUCCACAAAUUCGUGUCGUCUUUCUCUUCAUCCAGCCUGUAAUUAAAGCAAAGAAUUCUAAACUUCGCCCAAGAUCUUUAAUUAGUAUUAGCAAUCUUGUUUCGCACGCCCGAUUUGAAAUAAGGCACCAAUAAUUCAUAAAUUUAAAUUGUAUACAAAAUUCGAUUAAUAAUAGAAGCAUAAGUUUUGUCCAAAUUAACGAUGAGAUUGAGUGUUACAACAAAACAAAAUACCCAGUAAGUACAAAAAAUGAAUAGAGACCAAAACUACCAUUGUAGGGGAUAAUUGUAUUCGACAUGAAAUUUGAUAAUGUAUUGUGUGAAUUUUUGGUUGAAAAAUAAGAAUGAAAAAUAAAUUAUAGUGAAAUAAAUGGAAUCAAAUAGGGGCUUAAUAGAUAAUGAAAGAAAAUAAAUCCAUUAGAAAAUAUUGGCUAGCAUUAAUGUAGCUUCUCAUGGAAACUACUUGUUUAUCUUGAAAUCAUAGUUAUUAAACUCGGACUAGACUGGCCGGUCCGACCGGAAACUCGGUGAACCGGACCAUGGUCUGGUCCGAGUCUCAUGAGGGGACUAUUCAGCAUUCAAAUCGAUCUAUAACCGGAUGAAGCAGAAUAAAGAACUGGUAAACCGGUUUAAAUUAACUCGACAGUUUACUGUAAAUGACCCAAUUUCGAUGAAAUGGGGAAUUGAUCCCUUGAUUUUUAGCAAUCAACACUCGUUACGGACAAUUGGGAUACAAUUGGCAAUUGUCUUAAUGCUUCAUACUAUAAUAUAUAUCAUUUGUUUUCAAGAAUUUCAACCAUUCCACUAAACUUCUAUUGCUAAUAGAAUAACUUAAAAAUCUUUUAUAAUAUCAAUUGUACGUAAAAAUUUGGAAGAAGAUGUUCAUUAUUUUUGUGAAAUAUAAUAAACUAUUCAAGACUUCUUUAUUAUUUUUUUAAAAAAAUAAAAAAUAAUCGUCAUUCACAAAGUAUAACCCACAGUUAUUAAAAUCGGAUCAGUCGGCUUGUACCGAGAAUGGUUCAAACCUUGGCUUACAAGGUUAUAUUUCAUUUCCUCUGAGAAAUUUGUGAUCUUUGGUCAUAUAUCAGGAGUCAAACAUAUAUAUUUAGAUUUAGCAAAAUAGUUUUCCUUUUACUUCAAAAAUACAUUUUAAUUAAAAUUGUAAUUUAACAAUGACCCACCGGUUCAACCAUCGAGUCACCGGUUGAACCACUGACCCGAUGACCCUAUAAUUUUUUCGGGUCGACUAAUGGUCCAGGUUUAAUAACUAUGAUUGAAAUUCGUGAUAAAUUGAAAUAAAAAAUUGCUUCAUUUUUCAUUAAGGUAUAUAGAUAAUUUAAUAUCAAAUUUACCAUUUUUGUAAGAGAUCAAAAUUAGACACUUUUCAAUUGAUACGCAUGAGAUUAGACAUCAUUGUAAAUUUCCCUUUCUUUCCUCCUUAUUUCUGACACUAAAUUGACAAAAAUCUGUUAAAGUGAACUUGGAAUUUGUUGACGUUGAAUUGACAACAAAAUCUGUCGAAGUGAACUUGGAAAAGUCAAAGAUGCAUGGCUUUUGUUUGGAACAAUACGUGCUCACGUAUCAAGAUAGGGAUAAAAUCGGAAGUUGCCCAUAUACAUGCAUAACACCAUUUGGACUAGCUUUCACAUGGUGCACCAUGUGAUGUGAUAGAAGAAUACAUUUUUUCUACGGUAAUGGCGCGCAAACGAGGGUUAAAUUUUAAAGAUCAUUAUAUGGAUUGAAAUAAUUUUGGACGCAUGUGGUAUAAUUGUCUUAACGAAUAUUUGUUGAAGGGAUAUUAUAAAAAUGACGAUGUUUGGCCAUAUAUUUUCAUAAAGAAAACAAAUAUUGGAUUUACAAUUGUGGCAGUUUAUAUUGAUGAAUUAAAUUUAAUUGAAACUUCUGAAGAACUAAACAAAACUGUAUAAUAUUUGAAAAAUGAAUUUGAGAUGAAAGAUCUGGGAAAAACCUAAUUGUGUCUCGGAUUAUGGAUUGAACAUUUUUCAGAAAGAUUAUUUGUUUAUCAAUCUACUUAUAUAGAAAAAAUAUUUAAGCACUUUUAUAUGGAUAAUGCACAUCCAAUGGAAUCAAGGUUGUUCAAUCACUCGAUGUGAAAAAAUAUCAAUUUCAUCCACUUGAAGAUGGAAAAAAAAUUUAUUGGUCCCGAAAUACUAUAUCUUAAUGCAAUUAAAGUAUUAACUUAUCUUGCAAAUUGCACUCAACCCGACAUAACCUUUUUUUUUUUUUUUUUUGUCUUCAUACAAGAUACAGCUUAACACUAACUCAAAGAUAUUGAAAUAGUGUUGAACAUAUUUUUUGUUAGCUAAAGGGCACUAUUGAUUUUGGAUUAUUUUAUUUUCAAAAGUCGAAAUCUACUUUAAUUUGAUAUGCUGAUACAGGUUAUCUCUUUGGCCCACAUAAAGCUAAAUUACAAAUAAGAUAUAUGUUUACGCAUUGAGAAACAGUCAUAUCAUGGAGAUAUAUGAUGCAAUUCUUGAUAGCAUCAAAGGAUAUAAUAUAAAGAAUUAAUGAACCUCGCGAUGAAGAUGGGUUUGUCGGUUGUAGUGGAGGUGGUGGAGAUACUGGAGCAAGUUUCAAGUUAGGAUUAUUGUUGAAACUGGAAGAUAGGAACUCGGGAAUCAGAACAAGACCUCAAUGAUUGAUUUAGUCUAGCAUAGAAAAGACAGAAGUAAUUGCACUAAAAUUGAUGGACCAAGCUGUGUGCACAGCAUGACACAUAGCUCGGUUCACAGCACUCUCACAUCGGGGGUAGUGCCAAUAAAUAUAUGGCGCGAGCCCCACAGCACAGUGAGGGUGCUGUACAAUCAGUUUUAUCUAAACUCGAUAGGUGUGAAAAGUUGAAAGGAGUCAUUGAUUGGAACCGUCCCUGAUAAAUUGUUAUUUGACAGAUCACUGUAUUCAUACAUGAAAAUGAUUAUUAGUCUGCCAAAAACAAGAAGCAAAGAAAACCACCAGUGAUAAAAUAAAAUCUAUUAAUCCUCUGCUUACAGGACUUGAAGGGUAGUGAUGUUGGUCAGAGACAUAGGAAUAGUUCCAGUCAAAGUGUUAUUGUUGAGCCUCCUAUGUAGUCAAUAAACACACACAAUUAGGUUUUGAAGAAUCUGAGCAAUUAAUUACAUAAAAAACAGCUUAUCCAAAGUAAUCUGAAAAUUUCUCAAUAAUUAGGAAUGAACCUAAUCAGAGGGAGCUGAUGCAUUAAUACCCUCUUCACAUAUAAUUUGUCUAUUGGGCAUUAAUAUUGUAGGAGCUGAAAGAUUCUCGCAUUGUCCAAUUUUUCACUUGGUAAAUUGUAGGGGCAUGAUAAUUGUAGCAAUUCUCAAGAGACAGAACAAAAUUACUUUCAAAGAAGAGAAAAAUAUAGGAAAAACAAUUAGGAACUCUUCACAGUGUUCAUAUUGGGGCUUUCAUAAACAACUAUCUAAGGCCAAUUUGUAACCUUUCUCAAUGGCAAAAUCUUCAAUUAAAGAAAAGGAAAGAGACCAAAAAAUAUAUAUUUAUAUAAGAAACCAAAAAGUCGUAUCACGUAUAGGAAACGUAAUCUCUGAAGCUAGCCCAAGGUCGUGAGGAUGGGACCACUAAAACUGUUCGCGUAAAGACCAAGCUCACCAAGUUUGAUAAGUUCCCAAGAUCAAUUGGAAUUCCUCCACUUAUGUUGUUACUGGAAAGUUCCCGGCCAUAUACAUAUCAAAAAAAAUAAAAAAGGAGACGUACACAAAGGUUAAGAUGAUAAUAUAUAAAUUAAGCCCUUGUUUGAGCCCUUUUUUUUGGGAUUAAAAGAAUUUAGAGUAGUGAUUUUUUGGACAAAAUGAGUUUUGGAAAAAUAGAGCUCGAACAAGGGCUAAAUAUCACUAAUAAAAAGAGCAUCUUGCAAAAAUUAUUGGUGCAGAGAAGUAGACAUGUAAAUUUAAGGUCUCUCAAAUGUCUAAUACGUGAGGUAGCUAAUAUUCAGACUACGGAUCAACGAAUAAAAUGCUUUAACAGCAUUACAGUUUAGAGAAACAAAUAAAUUUCUAAAUAUAUAAUUAAAGCAAUAAUUGGUUAACUAUAACUCCGAACAAUAUGUUUCAUAAAAGUAGGUUGUUUGAUGCAAACUUGUUUCUUUUAAUAUUGUGUGAUAUUAUAAAGUUUAUCUUACGAGAUUAUUCAUAAAGUAUGAUUACGUUCUUCUAAUAUCCCACUAAUUUUCUCCGGGUGCUUGUUAAUCAUCGCCCGAGUGCAGUAAUUAGAUAAACAACAAAUUUACGAUCAUUUUUUGGCUAAUUUUGGUGUGAUAUAUUAAAAUUUGAAGGUCAAAUUUGAUAGGUUGGGCUAAAUAGAAUGAUUGAAUACUAUUAUGAAAAAACUAAAUUUUGUUGCCACUCGGAAAAGAAAGAUGAUCAACUUGAAUUUCACAAUUGAAACUUUUAGAGAGCAUUCAAUUAAGUCAUUAUGCUAAUCAUAAUCAUUGAAUCUACCUUAAAUUAAGGUCAAAAAGUAAAAAAGUAUAAUCACCAGAUUUGGUGGGUAAUUAUUUUUGCUUUUUCAGUAAAUUGACAUGGGGAAAGAUACAUUUUUAUGUAUACCCUGCAAAAUUGUAAAUAUAAGCACAGUGUCCCAAGAAUAUUUUCCAGCAAAGUACAACAAAGCUUCGUCCUUCAAUAAUUAAAUUAAUGUGUACACUGAAUAAUACUAGAUAGGAGAGAUUUUGAUAAGAACUUUUAGCUUAAUACAUAACACGUUAUCACAAGUCAUAACUAUGGCCUAAUCUUGUAAAAAGACUUGGAUAUAUAAAAAAUGAUCUAAAUCAACUCAUGGUAAUAAUUUUAAUAUCGAUCUCACAUAUUAUUAGUCUAAUAUAUUUAGAUAAAUAGAAAAAUGCAAGAGUGAGACAAGAUUUGGUGAUUACACUAACUUUUUAUAUUUGGACUAAAAUUGGACUAUACCUCAAAAAUAAAAAUAAAAAAUUCACAAUUUUUCCCAAUUCCCAUAAAUGAUCAAACAAAAAAAGGUUGAAUUCCAAUCUUGAGGGCCCCCAACGCCCUGCCCCUGAAGCAUCGUGAAGAAGGUAAAUCGCAGGAUGUGCCCCAACAAGUUAGGGAACAAGAUCUUACCUAUACACUGAUGCCCACAAAGAGUCAAAUUUUAUAUCUCAGCAAUCGAACCCUCACACUACGACUGCCAGCACGAUUAAGACUAUCUCACUCCUGUCUUUUGCACCACUGAGUUAUGUCCCCGAGGGCAAAGAUCAAACAAAGUUACAUGCAUUGAUUGUUUUUACACAGUACAUUACAAAUACCACUUGUCCUUUUCAUCAUCAUUUGAGGAAAGGGACAGAACACGGGAAAUUAAACCCUUUUUAGCUUCCUUUUUUUUUUUUUUUUUUUUUUUUUUGUAAUACGGUGAUUAAAGAAUGUAAAAUGUCAGUGAAGGGAUAAAAAUAUGUAAGAAAUAUUCAAAUAUUUCAUCUCUCAUCUGUAGGUCGAAAAAUGUAUAAUGUGAAUCCAUAGUAAGUGAUACAGACAAGAGUGUAAACAAAUCAACAAGAAGGUAGUGGAAAAAUGUGAAUGACAUGAUUAUGUUUUUCAAAGCAUGACUUACAAGUACUGCAAAUUCGGGAGCAGAUCGAGCACCAGAACCAGUUGACUGGACAAAUUUACGUUUCCGAGAUCACUGAGCGUACACAAAAAUAAUUUCCAUAAUUCGAGGAUCAUGUUAAUACUAAAAUGCAACUCGUGUAGCUAAUUAUGGAAAGGACAAAUCAGUUUCACACUCUAGUAACACUAUUGUCACUGUUGCAUGUAAUAUGAAACCAAGUGCAAUGAUUGACGAGUGUAGAAUCCCAGCUCUGAAGAACGUUGUUAGGAUCUGCCAAGUUUGUCUUAAAAGCAUUCAAGGCAUCGCCUGUUGCGCGUAAAUCAGUUAGCAAAUAUCGAUGACCAUUUUCUUUACAAAUUUAAGUUAAGCUACUACCGAACAAAUCUACACAUUUAUUUGCAAGGCCAACAAAAUAUGAGUUCACUAGUUUAUGAAAAUUCGCCUCAGACGCACCGCACAAAUGUUUUUCUUCAUUGUUACAAUGGUCAAGUCAAGUCAACAGUUAAACUUUCCUGAGCAGAACAAAAAAGGAGGAAAUUUUCCAAAGUUACAGCUAAGAACGAAUCCCCCAACUUUGUAAAUGGAAACUUAAUAGGUCUUCAAUCUAUGAUUUGAGUUUACAAUAAACAAGAAACAGGCUGGAAACAUAUCAAUUGCAAUACAGUCAAACUCAAUUGAAGCAUAAAAAUCACUUCAGUUGAAAUACAAAACAGAAGAACAGACGUUCAACGUUGCCAGAAACCCGUGAAAAUUGCGAAAUCCCGAAAAUUAAGGAGAGAAACUCAGAGAUUGUGAUUGCAAACACCGACUACUCCAUUAUCAUUUCACCCCAACCUAUCACUUAAAAACCUAGAUUCCACAUUAAAAACCUAUAUGUUUCCCCAGUCCCCACUACUAUACUAAACUAUGCAGUAAUUGAAAGGAACCAAAAUAUUACCAAAUCCUUUCACAAAAAAUACAUAAAUCCUCCAUGUUGAAAUCAAAGAGAAGAUUAAAAGUAGAAGCAUACCUUGAUCUAUAGAUGUGAGCGUUUUCAACAGGUUAUGAUCUUCCAAUUGUUACUUAAUUCCCUUGGAAAUUUUUCGCUGUUGAUGGAGAUACAGAGAGAGAUGAAAAUCACGUGUACAAGGAGAAAUCUCAGUUAAGUUUCUCCUUCAACAUAAGCUGUUAUUGUUAAUUUCCUUAAGAUCUUUGAGGCUUGAAGAUUUUGUCCUGAUGAUUUCUGGUAAACUCAAGUCCAAAAUAGGUGAUGUCCUCAUCAAACUCUCAGUUAUAUUAAUCGAAUUCUUUCCUUGUAUUUGUUGAUUGUUUGGUUAGAGAAGAUUUUCUCAUAAAAAUAAGCCUCUCAAAAAUGGUUGAUGAAACUUGUACCUCCACUUCAUUGGCCAAAUGAUUAUAUGCCCUCUUUCGUAAUAAGGCCAUCACACUGCACUUUCUUAUGGGUUUGCCAGAUCAACAACAAUGAAAAUGUGUUGUUUGGUACCAUCAGGAUAGAAACGUGUUUUUGGUGAAAUGCUGCCUUAUUAUUUUUCUUUCUAUCUUUUGUAUAUCAUCAGCUGAUUGUGAGAAUAUAGGCACUAAACCUUUGUAUAUAUUUCUGGCAUUCCCUAAUAUUUAACCAACUCAUGACAAUAAUUUGCAGUUCGGAUUCAUGGGAUGUGUUGUUCUGCAACCUGUUGGAAAAUUUGGAAUAAUUAGUUGGUCUGACCAACUUUAGACCAAUUAUUUAGUGGGUCCUGUUAGUUGGAUAAAUGAUUUCUUUGGCUAAGUGCAUCCUACUCCAUGAGUAUAAUUGAUAUAUGUAUUUUUUUUUCAAAACUAAUUAAGGGUGAAUGAGAAAUUAAAUCCAAAAUAGGAUAACUUGAAGUUGAAAUAAAUUGGAAAUAAAAAAUUGGUGGGAAAUUGGAAAGUUUCAAUCCCACGUAGGAAAACUAGAAGAAUAGAAACCACUUUAUAUCGCUCAACUUUGGGAUUUGCGUUUGGGCCCUAAGGUGCGCCACUAGUCUUUGAAUGGAAGAGAACCUACAUGCUAGUAGGUUGAGCUAAAGCCCACACGCGUCCAUCAUGACCGUUCGAUCGGCCGGCUCAACACGCGCACAGGUCGUAGACGUGGGCAUGGGCCCAGUUAGUAUAUAUAUUUUUGGUACAAUAAUAUUUUAAUUAUAUUAUUUUAUUAAAUUAAAUAAUAUAUUUUAAUUAUAUUAUUUUUUCACUAGAUUUUUUGUGUGCAACACGUGGCUUCUUCUAUAAUUGACGGUUACUGAUAGUUUUAAUUGCCUAUCCAAACGAGUUGUGUCUGUUUCAAGACACAACUUUUCGAUUGUUGUGUCUUUUGGGCAUAACCUUUCAACUUCUAUAAAUAGACCCCCAUAUCCCCGUUUUUGUUCAUUCCAAAAAAAUUUUCUACGUUAUAUUAUUUUUUCCCCAGAAUUUUUUGUUCGCGAAACGUGGCUUCUUCUAGAACUGAUUAUUGCUAACAAUUUUAACUGCCUGUCCAAACGAGUGUGUCUGUUCCAAGACACAACUUUUCGACUGUUGUGUCUUUUGGGCAUAACCUUUCAACUUCUAUAAAUAGAUCCCCAUUUUUUUUCAUUCCAAAAAUUUUUCUACUUUUCUCUCGCAAAAUACUGUCAUUCCAUCCUGCAGUAUUCCAUAUUUUUAUUUCAGUCCAAAAUAAUAAUUUUGUACAUUUUAGUCCUUUGAUUUUGGAGAGAUCAAAAUAUUAGUAGGUUCGUCGAAUUUUGUAAUUUAGAGUGCUACUAUUACAAGUUGAGGUCGUUGUAUCUUGAGAGACGAAUGCCAAGAGACCAUCAGCACCAGUGCGGGGCAUUGUCGCUUUAAGAAGAAAGAGUCGAACUCUUAUCUCGACCAUUAUCAUUCUAAUUUUAUUACGCUCAUUUUGUAAGUAGAAAUUCUGCCAAAGUGUUUAUUCGCUACUUAUUUAUAUAAAUUAUUGCAUGGCAUUCUCAAAAUUUCUUCAACACAACCAUGGUUUGAGAAUAAUUUUAUCUGUACCGAAUUGAGGGUACGAAAAAGUUGUCCCCCCUCUCACAAAGCAAGCGGGUCCCACGUGAAUAUAAAAAUUCCCAAAUAUGGUCCCCACCCUCUAUAGUAAGUAGUAGGUAAAGUAAUAUGUUAUAAAAUCAUGUACAUGUAGCAUUGUCCAUGAUUUAAUACUCUUCCUUAAAUUCUCAUUGUCCCUCUUUCGCGACAUUCUCUGCAACAUUUUUAUUGAUUGAAUGCCAAUAGACUUUCUAAGAUUUACUAGCUAUUUUCUUUAAUUUAUGUCAUCAUUACAUGGUUAAUUGGUUUUUGGGAUAUGACAGGCUGAGUUCAAGAGAGUUGUUUCACCCUUGAAGUACCAGACAAGGUAUUUAGCUGAUUUCCCAGUCAGCAAGGUUUCUUAGUAAGUUCUAUCUGACUCUCUGUGACUUGAGUUUAUUCUGUGGAUUAUUUUUAAUCUGCUGCAGUGUUUUGUCAUGUGACGUUCUUAUCUUGUAUUGGUUACACAUAUUUUGCCAGCUUGAUUUAAAAUGUAGCUUCUCAAGUUGUGCCGUUCAUAGAUACUAGAAGAUCUUUAAAUAUUUUUUAUGCAUAUACUUAAUUGAAUACCUCUUGCUUGAUUAUAGCUAGAAUGGGAGUUCUGCAGGAACAAGUACUGACAUUAUCAAGGAUAGUAAACUGAAAUUCGGGGAUACUUCCAUUUGUAUGCAAAUUUGAGAUUCUCGGUGUUUGAUUGAUAAGUGAACGAACAGUGAGAAGUAGAAUUUCAAAAUAAUUUGGAUGAAUAGAUUUGAUGUCAAGGAUUGCAAUUAAGUCUUAUAUGUACUACUUUGGCAAACUUCCUUAUGAAUCAAAUAUAUGCAAGGAAAUAGCAAGCACACUUGCUGCUUAACCUACCUGGUUUCCACUUCACAUUGUACUAGAUACUUUUGAGCCUUUUGUAGAUUCUGAUAUUUUCCACAUUCAUUUCUUGAACUUACAAAAAGAAAUUGCAGAGGGAGAUCUCUGCACUUUGGCAGUCCUAAGAGAAGAUAGAAGAUUGUCUCUUAAUCUCUCUGGUGUUAUUUGCUUUCUCUCUUCCGUGCAGCAUUGCAGGGUUUAAUUUUUAAUAUGAUAACAAUUGUGGGUGUUUUGCCUCUUUGAUUUGUGAAGAAAUGUUUUUUUUUUUAAAUAAUUUUUUCUUAUUUGUAGAGAAAUGUGCAGUAGUCUUCUUAAAUAUCUAAAUACAAAGAGGAAAAGGAUGCAUGUCAUUGGAGCUUGCUGUCAUCCCUCUUGCUCCAUCCUCCCAUUAAUUUUUACUUCUUUUCCUUCUUUCAUUUUCAUUCUUUUCGGUUUUUUUUGUGUGAUGUGGAGGGAUAGAAAUUGUUAGCGUCUUAAACUUUCUAGCAAGUCGGAUUCUGGAUUUUGCUUGUAUCUUCUUGAGUUUAUGUCGGUGAACAUGUAUUGUGUAUACCUAAAUCAUUAGUGUUGUAUGCUAAAGUUUAUUCAGCCAACAUAGUCCGCAAGCUUUCAGAAAAGAAAGUAUAAAAACUUUCUUGGGACUAGGCAACCAUAGCUCGGUUUGUGGAUGGAAUAUGUAUCCUUUACCUAAAGUUGAUCUUUUGGUUUUUUUUGAAGCACUAUCUAGAGAGAGCACCUUUUUAAGUUUUAUAAUUGAAAUAAAAGCAGAAUUUUUCUGUGCAUUUUUAGCAUUUCAUGAGAUCAACAAAUGGGAAGAAAAAUAAUGAGGUGGAAUCUCUUAACGGCCUCUUGUUAGAUGGAGAAUCAUUCUAUUUUUUCUUCUUAUGUGAUUACCGUCAAGAAUUGUGGGUCUGAAAAUAAUUAUUAUUUUUCCUUAGUUUUGUCUGUAUGUUUACCAAUCUGGUAUCUUAAGUAGUAUUGAAUUAUAACUUCACUAAAUUGUCGAGAAUCAAAUCUUAAAUUCAUGGCUAAUUGUAUGCUUAUCUAUAUGGGGUUCAUAAAUUUCUAAUUAUCUCCAACUUCUAAAAGAUUUAUUUAAUCAGUUUAGCUUUUAUGUUAAGAGGUUCUUACUUCCUAAUUAUUCUCAUUGACUACUUCCCAAAUUAUGAUCUCAAUGCUACAAGAAUUUUAUGUUAUUGUGCUAAAAAGUUUGAUAGAAUUCGUGUUUCUUUAUUGAUGACCUGGAUCUUAUACUCUAUGCCUUGUCUCAGAUACAUUACACAUUUGCAACGUUUGGAUCUGAUGGAGCCUUCAACUUUUGGGACAAGGACAACAAACAGAGGCUUAAGGUAUUAUGGAAUCCUUCUUGUCAAGUCUUGGAAAUGCUUGGAGUUAUCAUUGUAUUCUCAAUUGCAUUGUUUCGCAUGCUCAUGAGUGUUCAUCUUUUCACUGUGUUUCUUAGGCUAUGUCAAGGUGCAGUGAGCCCAUCCUUGCAGCACUUUCAACAACGAUGGCUCCAUUUUUAUGCAUAUUCGGUGAGCCUUUGUUAACAUGUCUAAAUAUAUAUUAUCUGAUGUUCAUCAUUUUCUAAAUCAUAUUAUUAUUAGGGAUUGUUGUUUCCUAGAGAAGAUUGGUGCAUAGAAAGAUAUUUUCUAUGAUGUUGCAUCAUUGUUUUAUGUCUGCAAUCAUGAGAUGGAUAUUUCUUUUACUUCCACUGCAAUCAGCUUGAGGAAGUUCUAACAAUUUGUGUGGAUGCUGAAUUUUUUUAACGAUUAUAAUCCUCAUUAAUCUUUCUCAAUAUAACUAACCAGAAAACUUUCAGAUGAGUUACUGGGCUGUCCUAACUCCGAAAUUAUCUUCUUUUCUGAAAAUUUUGCCUGAAUAUUUUGUUUUCAGGUUGUUAUGAUUGGAGCAAGGGUGCAGAAAAUCACAAUCCGGCAACAGCAAAACCACAUAUCUACGUGCAUUUACCACAGGUCCUUUUCUUAACUUUUUGAAUCUAUUUUUGGAAACGUUUUACCUUUGACAUUAGAGGUGCUUUAAAUCCUGAACACACUAUGUUUUGUUGUUUGAGCAGGAGGCUGAAGUCAAAGGCAAACCAAGGAUUGGAACAGGAGGUAGAAAGUGAAUCUUGUCAUCCUAGUUUGGAGAAGGGAAAUUUGGAGAUGUGGCCAAAUCUGAAGGGUGGAUUUGAAAUGAGUCUACUUUUAAAAACUUCAAAAAUGGCCACUUUUUUAUGCAAAAUGUCAUAGAUGCCCUUCUGUAAAAGUGGCCACUUCUUCGUAUGCUCAAGAUUUCAUAGUACUUUGUAGUUGGUGUACAAAUUUUGAGAGUAACAUAUUAGUUUCCAAGAGAAGUUGUUAGAUGCAAUUUUCCAUAGGAUAACAUCAGUUAGUACCAAAAUAAUAAUAAUAAUAAUAAAUUAAAUUAAAAUAUAUAUAUAUAUAUAUAUAUCAUCUUUCUUGAUGUUUGAACUAUAUUUUCAACUAUAAUAAUCUCUUUUUUUUGGGGCAAAAGUAUGUAGUUAUUUACAAAAAAAGUUAGAAUCCUUGAACAUGGAGUUACACGUUUCUUGAAAAUCAUCUUUUUUUCUCCAAAUACAAAAAAGGACAAAAACUCUAAACCCACGCUUUUUAUAUAUUACAAUGGUGCAUUGUUCUAAAAAGCGUAAAACGUGAUCAGGCGUGAAGUCGAAGCUUCAAGCUUUAUGAGCUUAAGCGAGCCUAGGUGAGGUUUUAGCUUAAAAAAAAUGUUUUUUAAUUUAUAAUAUUAUUUUAAAUUUUUAGUCAUUUUAAAAAUUUAUUGAAUAAUUAAAAUAAUACAUAUUAAACAUCUAAAAUUAUCAAAAACAAUAUUUACUUAAUAGCUCCUACCAUUAGUCAAUUAUACAAUUUUCAUGUUUUUGAAAUGUAAAAUUAGAAUAUUUUUCAUAGUUUCAAUUUUUAAGUAGACAAGUCCUACUUAGCACCUAUUUGAGGGGCAUUAUUUCCUCAUAAAAAUGGCUUUUUGACCAUUGGUGUACAAUCUUCCAAGACUUGGUGAGAUGCAAGUCAAAAAUAAGGGCUGUAUGGGAUCUAAUAACGGUUGGAUUUCUUUUGAAAAUGAGAAAAUAAUGCCCCUCAAACAGGAGCUUAAUAGAUUUAUAGGAACUUCAUACAUACUUUUGAAAUUUGUAAUAAAAUGAGUCUAAAGAUCGUACUUAAUAUAUUUAUGGGAACUUCAUACAUGCUUUCGGAGUUAAUAUUAAAAUGAGUCUCAAGACCGUAAUUACAUAAUGUAGAUAAUACCAAAACUUAAAUCUUAUUUAACUAUUUAGAUAAAGUCAUUUUUAACUUUUGUACAGAUAAAAUCUUUUAAAAACUUGAAAUUAAAGCCAAAUGACAAGUUUAAAAAAAUAAUAAUAAUAAUAAUAAAAGCUAAAGUCAAUUAGUCAAAUAAAAGAAUUUUAAAAAAAGACUAAUAAAGCAUGUCUACAAAUGACGAAAGAAAUGAAGGAAAAAAUUCAACCAUUUAGAAUUUGGAAGGAAAAAAAGUGUCUAAACGUGAAAGAGUCGUUUUGCCCAAGCUUUUAGAACAUUGCAAUGGUGACAUUCAAGAAAUUGUAUUGGUGAAUUAUAGAAUUUGACGUUUUGAAUGGUAGAAUUCUACAAAUAACACAGAAUUUUACAAUUUUACAAUUCAACUGUUAAUUGUAGAAUUCAAUGAUUCUUCAAUAACAUUAGUUAGAUUUAUGUUAACAGAAAAUUGAGAAGAGAGAAUGGAGCUUGGUCUAAGUUGAUUCUUGAUAUGUUUAGGACUUUUUGCAUCUAGGAUUUUGUAAGCAGUGUUGGGCAAGGCGGAGAGAGACAAAAAUGAAAGGAUGAUUUUUGAGUCUGAGAAAAAAGUUGAGGGAUUUAGGAGAGAAGGUGUUUAAAAAAAACUGAGAUUUGGCAUUGGAAUUUGACUUUUUGGUAUUCUUGAAUCUGAUUCCUAUCGUAUUGGAGUUAUCCUUUCAAUUUUGAUUUAAAAAAUAACAAUAAAUAAAUCUUUAUAUCAUUUAUGUCCGUUGGUCCUUUUCAUCUUUUAUUUUUUUGAUUGAAGUCUCGAACCUUUAAAUUAAUAUGUAAUGCGAGGUCCUUUGAACGGUUUCACUAAAAAGACCGUUAUUGACUUACAAGUUACAUAUUCACCAAUAUUUGACCAGUUUAAAGAGGAUCUUUGCAUCUUUUCUCGUUUAAAACAAUUAAAAUAUUUCAAAAAGAAUGGGAGAAAGGGGCCUAAAUAAAAAAAAUUAAAAAAUGUGUAACAAAAUGAUUUCUUCUCCACCUAUCCCCCCAUGCCGCCGUAGCCGCCGCCGUCGCCCACUCUUGAACGAAUCAAUCAAUUAAUGCAAGAAGAAAACCAUUUUCUUUGUUUUUUAAUUUUUUUGUUUAUACAUUUUUAUUUCUUUUAUUUCUCCUUUUUGAAACAUUUUAAUAAAUGAGAUAAUACAUAAAGUGUUGUAAAAUGGUAAGUUUAUUAUUAAAUGACAAAUGUACUCCUACAAUUCUAAAAAUUACUUUCAUUGUAUCCCUGAUUCUUACCUAUAAAUAUAGGACUUUUAUUCUUUAACAUACUAAAAUUUAUUGACUUUCGUUCUCUCUUCUCUUUUUAUCUCUUUUUAUAACACGUUAUAAGCACGAAAGUUUAAUUCUCCAAAGUUUAAUGAAUGUAAUAAUUUUUUAAGCAUAAUUAUCUAUUUUAUGUACCAAAAUUAAUUUGGUUACAUGUGAAUUUUUUUUUCAUACAACACACAAAUUUGUAAGGCUGGGCAAAUCUCCCGAACCGAACCGAACCCGAAUUGAACCGAACCGAACCCGACAGUUCUUGUCAAAUUAAAUACCCGAACGGGUAUCUGAAUUGAGAACCGACAGGUACGGUUCGGUUCUCGAUUCUAGACCAAGAACCGAAAAACCGAAUAAGAACCGAAUAUUUCUAAUUUUUUUUAUAUUGAGUAAAUCAAAUUAUUUUAAUUUUAAUUUUUUCUAAACAAAUUAAUGAUUUCUAAAUUCAAAUUUUUGGCCAAAUAAUUUGUUUCAUUUCUAAUUUUUUAAUUUUUGGCCCAAUUACCCAUUUUAUUGUUUCAUUUCUUAGCCAAACAAGAUCAAAUCCACUAAAUAACCCUAAACACCAACACUAAAGUGCAUAACGUUGUCUUGACUCUCGCACUCACUCUCGCAGCCUCGCUAAUAUUCCAAAACCUAUACAAUCAUCAGCCGACACUGUGACCUCCGAUCGAAGCUAUGACCUUCGCCAACCGAAGCUUUGAUCGUAACGAUCAUUUGAACAAGGUAGUUUACCAGUCUCUGACAUUCCAAAACCAUUGAAUGUAUCAUUAGUUGUAUUUAUAUAAUGUUGUUAUAAAUGUUAAAAAAAUUUAAUUAUAGUACAGAACCGAACGGACCCGAACCGAACCGAACAGAACCGAACUCGAACGGUUCUAUAAUUAUAUUUGGACCCGACGGUUCCAUUUACUAGAUACCCGAAAAGUUCGGUUCGGUUCGAUUUUAAAGAGAACCGAACCGAACCGACCCGCGCCCACCCCUACAAAUUUGUGUGCAUCUAAACCUUUUGCCAUAAUAUUCAUGUACAAUCAUACGUAUAGCUAACACCUUCAAGCUGUAACCAUCCGCUUCAAUCAAUUUGGAUUUAUCAAUUUAUUUGCAUCAUCAUAUGUUUCUUAUAUUCAUUAUUUUCUACAGCUGCCGCAAUAACCCUGAUUUUGAUUCUUGCGUGCCGUUUGCCUAUAUCAAUUAAUUAAUUAUAUUUUCCUUUAAUCUUGCUACAACCAUUUACAUGUGUUUGUCGAAAUCAAUUUAUGUUUGAAGUUUUUUUUGCAUGUUUGGUAAUUAAUAAGUUUAUAUCAUGUCUAUGUGGUAAUUAUUAUUUUUAAUCCGGUUAAACAUUUUUAGAUGUUCUUCUAUAAAUUUUAAGUUGAUAAUUUAUCAUAUUGUUACUCCUAAAAUAACACAAUAUUAUAAUUAAUAUUAUUGAAGAAUAUUACUUUCUCCUAAAGAGUAUAAAUUAUAAUUUUUAAUAUUUCAGAAGAAUAUUGGUUUAUUGCUUUUGAAGAAGCAAUAAUAAAAUGCAACGUGCUUUCAAAGUAGUACAACUUUAUGAUUAAUAUUAUUGAAGAAUAUUACUUGUUCCAAAAAAUUAUAAAUUAUAAUUAUCAAUAUUCCAAAAUAAUAAUGACAUAUUGCUCCUGGAGAAGCAAUAGUAAAAUAUAACUUACUCUCAAAGUAGCACAUGUUUUGAAGAAUAUAUUAUUUUAAAUCAGUGUUUAAUGUUUAUCCCUGAAAAAACUCGUAGCUUAUGUCAUCUUGAUAUUAAUUGAUUAACUAUGAUGUGAUGUUUAAUUAUAUUUUUUGAAACAAAUUGUAUUUUCUUUAUUGUGCAGUUAAUCAAAUUGCAAAUAUUACAAAACUUGUGUUUGUUGCACUUGACAUAUCUGACAAAAAAUAUCUAUCCUUGAAGUUGACAUUCAUCUUGUCUCAAAAGAUUUGUGAGAGACAAUAAAAGAGAGAAACAAAUAAUCCUUGCAAGAUCGUACAAAAACACUCAUCUUCUUUCAUCAUCAUCUUCAUGAUGGAUUAAAAAUUGAAUAUCUCACGUAGAAAGAUCCAGAAUCCUCUAUAAAUGAAUGCACAUUCGUUUGCAAAACUUUAAAACUGUUAGUGAGUAUCAUUUUGAACAGUUCAAAAUAUUUCAAAAUUAAUUGUGGAGAAAAAAUCACUGGUGAAAAUAUGUUGGAGAAAACAUUUUCCACCAUUCAAUCCUCGAAUAUGCUCUUCCAGAGCAAUAUUGUGAGCGUGGUUUCAUAAGGUACUCUAAACUCAUAUCUUGCAUGCUUGUAGCCGAACAAAAUAAUGAACUGUCGAUGAAAAAUCAUGGAUUAUAUCUAACUAGUUUUGUACCAUUGACUGAAGCAAAUGAUACUCGUAGCCUAAAGCAAAUGCAAUAUCAAGACAAAGACGUGGAUGUGUACGUGAAAUAAGUCAUAGACGAAAUAAUCAACAAAGCUAUCAACAACAAGGCAACAAUUGUAAAAGGCACAAACAAAACAAAACAAAAGUAGCACAUCCAAAAAGGAGCAUGAAAAAGUUGUUUUAGAUGUGAAAUGAAAGGGCAUUGGACACGUAGCUAUCGUACGACAAAAUAUUUUGUGGAUCUUUACAAAAAAAUCAAUCAAGAAAAAGGAAAUAAUGGGAACGAAUUUUACUGAUUAUGAUGGUCUCAUUAACAUAAUUGAUUUGGAUGUUUUUUAUUUCUUUGCUGAUCCAAAUAGAAAUAUUGAUAAUUUGAUUGGGAGUGGUGUGAUGGAAGAUAUAGAUUAGUUUAUUUCCUAUGUCUCUAGUAUUUUCCUUUAUUUUAUUUCAAAAAAAAAAUUGAAACUUUACUAUGCUUCGUCAAUUUCACAGUAUUGAAUUAUGUUUACCAUUUUAAAUUUAGAUUCAAGCUUUUAAAUAUAUCUAUUUUGUUAUAUUAUAGAUUCAUGAUGGAUUGUUAAGAUACUUGCUUGAUUGAUAUUGCAACUAUACAUACCAUUUUUCAAGAAAAAAAAAUAUUUUUUGAACUUAAAAUUAGCAGAAAAUAAUUUAAUAUGAUAUCACGUGCAUCAUAUAUUGUUGAAGGCUCCAGAUGAGUUUGUAUUAUUUUAUUAAAGAAUACAAAAUUAUAUAUUGACGAUACACUUUAUUCUAGCAAAUCCAAAAGAAAUUUGCUUAGCCUCUAUUUGAGCCACAUUAUAUUCAUAAGAAUACAUUUUUGAAUAGUGUAUUGAUGGAAAAUGUGUGGUUAAAAAAUAAAGAAAAAAAUUGGAUUUAAGUGUAAUAUUAUUUUAUUGAAGAAUGUGAAAUUGAAAUGAUGUCAAAUCACUAUUUAAGAAUAUAUUUUUUUGAAAAAAUGUGGCUCAAACAUAGCCUUAGUUUUAAAGAUAUCCGCAACAAUGGAUAUCACAUUGAGAUUAUAUAAGAAAAUAAUAUUAAAUAUCUUUGUAUAACUUCUUUUGUAUAUGGAAAGAAGCGGAGAAAAGAAAAACUUCAUGCACUUAUAUCUGGCAUGUAUUAUACAUUUAUAAAAAUGUUGAAUCAAAUAUUAUAAUGAACCAGAAGUUCGUUGAUCCAAAAAAAUUUAUACUUUGAUAUGAUCGACUAGGCCAUCAAGGAGCUAUAAUGAUGGGUCGAAUAAUAAACAACUUAUAUAAACAUCUUUUAAAGAAUCAUCAGAUUCUUUUACCUAAUAAUUAUCCACGUGUUGCUUGUUUGUAAAGUAAGUUAGUCAUUAGACCUUCGACUAUAAAAGUCAAUAUUGAAUUUUCAACUUUUUUAGAAAGAAUGCAUGGAGAUAUAUGUGAGUCAAUACACCCAUCAUGUAGACCAUUUCGUUAUUUUACGGUAUUAAUCAAUUCUUCUAUUAGAUGAUUACAUGUUUGUCUACUUUCUACAAGGAAUAUAGUUUUGCUAGACUACUUGCUCAAAUCAUAAAAUUUCAAGUGCAAUUCCCUGAUUACCUAAUCAAGAGUAUUCGUCUUAACAAUGCUGGUGAAUUUAGAUCACAAGUAUUCGAUGAUUACUAUUUGAGGUCGAUCAUCCAAAGCAGGAAUGGACCUAAAAAGUCAAGUCAUAUGAGUAGGAGGAUCGUCAAUUGGAAUUGUAAUUGAAAUUCAGUUGGGCAUGCCCAUACACAAAUAGGUUAGUGAGUCAUUUAUUAUACGUCUAUAAUUUAUUGCUAGACCAUUACUUAUGAAAACAAAACUCCUAAUUUCUAUUUGGGCUCAUGCCAUAUUAUAUGUUGCGUCAUUGAUUCGUAUUAGACCAACUACAUAUUAUCAAUAUUCGCCUUUCCGACUGGCAUUUGGUCAAAAACUUGAUAUUUUUCACAUAUGAAUUUUUUAUUGUGCUGUCCAAGUUCCCAUUUCCUAAUGAAGACUUGGGAUUAUGUGGGAUUUAAUACAUCAUUUAUUAUUAAGUAUCUUGAAUCUUUAAUGGGUAAUUUAUUUAUUGCACAUUUUGUAGAUUGCAACUUUUCCAGCUUUGAGAGGGAAAAAACAACAUUCUAAAAAACAAAAUGAAAUUUAUUGGAAUGAAAAAACUCUAUCUUACUUUGAUCCCUGCAUCAAUCAAUGUGAGCAAGAUGUUUAAAAAAUUGUUCAUUUGCAAAGAGUUGUAAAUCAAUUACUUGAUAUAUUUGUUAACACAAGAAAAGUGACAAAGUCAUAUAUUCUAGUAGAAAAUAUUACGGCAAAAAUUAAUGUUCCUGAAGGAUAAUCUGUUGUAGCAAAUGAAUCUCAAAUACGCCAUAAGAGUGGUAGACCUAUUGGUUCAAAAGACUUUGUACCUCAAAAAAGAAAAGUAUAAGAAAAAACCAAACCAAAAAUUUCAAAAGAAGUAAUAUUAGAAAAAAAUUGAUCAAACAAAUAUUGAAAAUGUGGACCCUGAAGAAUCACAAGUGUCUAAAAAUAAUGAGAUUUUAAUAAAUUAUAUGUUAUUUCAUAAAUCAUGGGAACGAUAUAAUUUUGUUAUAAACAAUACUUUCUCCUUCAACAUGACUCUUGAUAUUAUAUAAAAUGAGGAUCUUGAACCACAGUGAAUUAAAAACUGUCAAAAUAGAAAUGAUUAACAAAAAUGGAAAGAAUUCAUAUAAGUGGAAUUGAAUACUUUAGAGAAACAAAAAAAAAUGUUUAGACCUAUAGUUUGAGCACCUGAAAAUGCAAUCCCUAUAAGAUAUAAAUAGGUUUUUGUAUGAAAAAAAAUGAAAUUACAAGAUAUAAAGCUUGAAUCGUAACUUAAGGUUUCUCACAAAGACCAAGUUACGAGGAAAUAUAUUUUCCCGUAAUGGACACUAUCACUUUUAUAUUCUUAAUUAGUUUGACUGUAUCAUAAAAGUUUGAUAUACGUCUUAUGGAUAUAGUAACUGUUUAGUUGUACGAUUCACUUGAUAGUGACAUAUAAUGAAAGUCCCCGAAGGACUUUAAGGUGACAGGAACAAACGAUAUAUGUCCCAGAACCAUGUUCUCAAUUAAAUUACAAAGAUCAUUAUAUAGAUCAAAACAAUUCAGAUGCAUGUGGCAUAAUCGCUUUAGCGAAUAUUUGUUAAAAGAGGGUUAUUUUAUAAAAAAAACAAAUAUUGAAUUUACAAUUGUGGCAAUUCAUGUUGAUAAUUUAAAUUUAAUUGAAACUUCUGAAGAGCUAAACAAAACUGUAUAUUAUUUGAAAAAUGAAUUUGAGAUAAAAGAUAUGGGAAAAACUAAAUUCUAACUCGAGAUACAGAUUGAACAUUUUUUAGUAAGAUUAUUUGUUUAUCAAUCUAUUUAUACAUAAAAGUCUUAAAGUGAUUUUAUAUGGAUAAUGCACAUCUAUUAACAUCAUUUAUAGUUGUUCGAUCACUUGAUGUGAAAGAAGAUCGAUUUCGUCCACUUGAAAAUAAAGAAAAUAUUCUUGAUCAUGAAGUAUCAUAUCUUAGUGCAAUUGGAGUACUAACUUAUAUUGCAAAUUACACUAGACCCGACAUUUUUUUUUUUGGUCUUCUUGCAAGAUAUAAUUCUACACCAACUCAAAGACACUGGAAUAGUGUUGAACAUUUUUUUAUAAUUAAAGGGCACUAUUGAUUUUUGAUUAUUUUAUUAUCAAAAGUCGAAAUCUGGUUUAAUGGAAGAUGCAGAUGCAGGUUAUCUCUCUGACCCACAUAAAGCUAAAUUACAAAUAGAAUAUGUAUUUACACAUGGAAGAACAAUUAUAUCAUGGAAAUCUGUGAAACAAUUCUUGACAACAGCAUUGUCAAAUCAUUUUGAAAUUAGUGCAAUCCAUGAAGCAUGACGAGAAUGUAUAUAGUUGAGGAACAUGACCCAUCAUAUUCAAACAUCAUGUGGAUUAACUUCAACUAAAGAUAGUACAAUAAUUUUAUAUGAAAAUAAUGCAGCUUGUAUUGCACAACUCAAAAAAUGUUAUAUUAAAUGUGACAGGACAAAGCAUAUUUUCUUAAAUAAAUAAAAAAAAUUCUAAUACUUGAGCUUAAAAAAAAUGGCGACAUCGAUGUUCAACGAAUUCGCUCAAGUAACAAUAUGGUCGAUUUAUUCACAAAAGCACUGUUGAUAUCUACAUUCAAGAAAUUAGUUCACAAGAUUGUAAUACGUCGACUGAAAGAUUUUCAGUGAUCAAUAUGAUAGGGAGUAGCUGUACUCUUUUUCCUUCACAUAGGCUUCAUUCCACUGGGUUUUUCUAGCAAUGUUUUAAUGAGAUAGCACUCGAUAUAAAUUUAAAGGUUUGAGACUUUAGAGACAUAAAUUUUGGAUCUUUUGAGACCUUAAAAUUGUCCUCCUUAAAUUAAGUAGGUACAUUCCUCACAAGCCUUUAAUGGCCAGUUUGGACGACAAUGGAGAAAAAUGACCACUCUUUUAAAGGAAAACAUUUAGUUAGGGUAACCAAUAUAAAAUACAAGUAUGAAUAAAAAGGGCAAAAAAGUCGAUGGAAUUUAGGUUCCUUUCCAAAACAAUUUUAGUUCAUAUUAUUUAAAAAAUGAUCCUCUAGCCAAAAGUUAUAAAAAGUAGCUAGAUGUCAAAUUGUUUGGACAUUUUCUCCAAUUUCCUAUUUGGAGAAUGAGUACACGUGGAACUUGUUGUUUCGACUUUCAUUUCGAUGAACAACGUCAUGAAUUGAGAGUCUUGAUAGUGAAUGAUGUUCUUGUGUUACUAGAACUGCGGAUUUAGAUAUUCUUUAAGCGAUUAAACUCCCAAUAUCUUGAUGCAUAUCAAAAAUAAAGAGCUUAUUGUUUUGUAUGAGGAAAAAACAUUAAUUUUCCAUCAUAUCUGAUGGUGUUCUUGUGCUUCGAUCUUAUAUUUCUAUAACAUUAUUGUGAUUAGAUAUUCUCAAUUGCCACAAAUGCUACACUAGCCUCAUUAUAUAGUAUCUAAGCAAUCACUACUAGAUGGAAUUGAACUGUAGCAUGAAUAAAAUUUAGCUCCCGUUUGGUAGCCAUUUUUUUCAAAAUGCAUUUUUCUCUCUUUUCUUUUCAACCAAACAUUCUUUAUUAAAAUAAUAUUACACGUAAAUCAAAAAAAUUUCCUUAUUUCUCAACCCACAUUUCACAUCAAUUUACUAUUCUAAAAUGCAUUUUUACAUAAAAAUGCCUAUCAAACACUAAACUUUUUUUUCUUAUUUAACGAAGUCCGUCUAGUCACAUCGAAUACUAUCCACCAAACAUGCACUUAAAAGGAGAUAAGUUGAAACUUGAAUCUCAUACAAAAUAGAGUGAAGAUAUAGAAUUAAGCUAAAUGACCACAUUUGUUGACGCAAAGGUUGACACGCCUCUCACAGCCAAGGUGUGGGUCCCGCGCCAAUAAAAUAACGCCGACCUUCCCAUGUGAGUGUGUUGUAUCAACCGAUGUGUCAACAAAUGUGACUAUGUAGCAUGACCCGAAGAUAUAAGUUUUCAAGAAUAAAUAAGCAAGCAAUUCGUCGGUUGUGGUAAUUCUGAUUUUUUUUUUUUUGUUUUUAUGCUUUCACUAUUCAAUACGUAAAAAGAAAUGUACAUUGAUAGAGACUUCCAAAGCCAUUUCUGCUGCUUGCACAAGAAAAUGUCAAGUGGUGACCUACAAACAUCCCUGCGUCAUCAGAAUUCCGUAACAUGAAAUAAACUGGAACCUGAACAAAAAUCGAAAAAUAUAUUAUCUUGGUCAUUGAAGAUUAUCUUGGUCCGGAUAACUCAUCUGGUAGGACAUUGGAAGUCAAGACAGGAUUUGCCCAGACAGUAUUCGGGUGGUAGAUGGGAUUUAACUCUUGUCGUAACAUUUCUUCCUUCUGCCACUCAUCCCACUUCUCGGCCAAGCCAUCGCCUUCAAGCAUCCUGACAACAUCCGACAUCUUGGGACGCUCCGUAGGAUAACUUUGUGUGCAAAGCAAAGCCAUUUGAAUUAGCUGCUCCACCUCUUCCUCAAUAUAAUUGCCCUGGAGGUCUGCAUCGACUAAAGUUUCCAACCUUUUCUGCUUCAGAAGUUUCUUAACCUGAAAUCAAAGUCCAAAGUAAAUGAAAUAAUAAGCCCAAAAGGGAAAGCUUGCAAAAACACAAGUGCACGAUUCAACAAUAUUAUGAAUAAUAUUUAAGCUUCUUUUCUUCCUUGAGAAUGUCCAAUCCUGAAUAGGCCAUAAAGGACUAGGGGUGGAUUUUAGGUACGCAAUAAUGGAGCAACGUAAUUUUUUCCAUCUAUUUCAAAGUUUGAAGUUGAAGACCACACAAGAAUCUCUUAUUAUCUAAUUGAAGGAUGCACAAAAAGGGAAAAUGAUAGUGCUCACCCAAUCCAGUAACCUCACAUCAUCAUCAUUAACAAAACAAGCCAGAUCGCAAGCUCUCUGCCCAGUAAUGAGCUCAAGAAGCAUGACUCCAUAUCCAAAAGCAUCACUUUUCUCGGAACAUUUACCGGUGGAGAGGUACUCGGGAGCUAUAUGACCAAUUGUGCCAUAUACAGCUGUGGUAACAUGAGUAUCCGUGUAGUCCAUGAGUUUGGCCAGCCCAAAGUCACCGACAACUGCUUCAAAGUCUUCAUCCAACAAUAUGUUUGCAGCUUUGACAUCACGGUGAAUAAUCUUAGGAUCACAAUGAUCAUGCAAGCAAGCAAGCCCCCUUGCAGCUCCCAAUGCUAUACGCCUUCUAAUUGUCCAAUCAAGUGGAGGUUGUGAUUCAGAUCGUUCUAUAAUAAUCCAUUAAUAAGCUAUUAGAACAUAAAUAACAAUAUAAAAUUAAAAGUAGAGCCUUUCCAGAUACUACACUGUCAAAUAUCAACAUGGAAAGUUCACGUUCAGCCACAUUAUUAGCUCCAUAUCACAUAAUGUGAUAUUAAUUAAAAAAUUUUGAUUAAACCACAAAGACAUUUGCCGUGACUCUAAUGGACGACUUUUUGCCGCCACCAACACCAAUAUCAUUAUCAAACCAAAGACAUCUAAAUGUCUUUUUUACUAAAUCAUCAUGAUAACUGGUCAUUCCUUCCAUGCUCUCUCUCUCUCUCUCUCUCACACGCACACACAUCUGCUUGUCAGCUUGGUUGAUAUGAACGGGAAAGGGUUGAUGGUGGCAGAAGCAGAAGCAAAUUCACAUUGAUAAGAAGAAAAAUGAAUUGGAACAAAAGGAAAUUAACCUGGAAUGAGAGAAAAAGAAAAAAAAAAGAAAAGAACAAGUAACGAAUGCGAGGUGUACGGCCAAGAGUUAGUGCCCCUUCCAUAUGAACAAUAUUGGUCAAACAAAGAGACAUCUUAUUAGUUGAAAUUUGUUGCAAGUGUGAAAGGGAAUUGAGACUUUGGAUUCACCCCUUUGCUACAUAUUAAAUAAAUGUGGAAACCAGAAGCGUCAUCAUAAUUACACCAAGGGAAGUGAUCAUUAGCAAAGCUUAGAUUAUAACUGAAGCUGGUCAAAAUACUUUUUAUCCACAUUUUGUGGGACCCGCAACUUGUAAGCACUACAUUUACUACAGUCAAUUAACUUAUAUUAAAUUCUAGUCAGCAUCUCAUGUAAAGAAUUUCUUAGUACUCUAGAUCAAGGUCUCAAUAUUAUAUUAUUUUUCAGAUUAAGGUUAAGAGUAUUAUUUUCACUUUCAAAUCUCUUUAGUCCUCAUAAAUCAAAUCGUGUUUCCAUAAAUGUCAUGCUUAUAAAUAUUUCAUUGCCUAAACUACAGAACAUAUUCUUUAACUGUGACAUUAUUAUCAGCAAGCAACAUUUAUGCACAGAAUAUGUAUAUGUGACUCAGUCAAAUAAAGAAUAUACGAAAAUGAUAAAAAGCUGUACCUCUUAAGCAUGAUGCUAGAUUUCCAUUAGCCAUGUAGGGGUAAACAAGCAUUCGUUCUGUAGGUGUCAUGCAAAAGCCACGUAACCGAAGUAGAUUUCGAUGCACAGCCAUGCUGAUCAUUUCUACUUCAGUUUGAAACUGAAGCUCUCCACCUUGUGUACGUUCGUCUUUUAAUCUUUUAACUGCGACAAGAGAACCAUCAGCCAACUG
rnacentral:lncRNA from 1 species